UACGGGGGGGGCAAGCGUUGUUCGGAAUUACUGGGCGUAAAGGGUUUGUAGGUGGCCCGCUAAGUCACACGUGAAAUCCCUCAGCUUAACUGGGGAACUGCGUCUGAUACUGGCGAGCUUGAGUGCAGGAGAGGAACGCGGAAUUCCAGGUGUAGCGGUGAAAUGCGUAGAUAUCUGGAGGAACACCGGUGGCGAAGGCGGCGUUCUGGACUGCAACUGACACUGAGAAACGAAAGCCAGGGUAGCAAACGGG
rnacentral:rRNA from 1 species